GCUGAGUGACACAGCGUUGAGACAUCCAAAAGAGGAAGAGAAGGCCCUGGUGUCAGCACUGGAGUGGAGGGAAGGUUUCAGCAUCCUUGAGAACUUCCUGAGAUAUCUCCUGUAAUCAUCUUGGUCUUUACAGAUCGCAUCAAGGAGCCAAACACUAAUAAUACAAUCUGCUGGAGAAAUAGGAAAAAUGAGAAAAAGAAUUGUCAACAGUCCGUAGGAAUAUACAGUUUUGUGACAUGUCCCCAAUCGAAUGCUCCUGUCCGUGAGUCCAGCCAUCUCUUCAGCUCCAUGAUGCAUCUGUCACUGACCCUCAGCACUAUGAUGUGUUGGAAAAACUCACAGGCCGAAUAUAGAUGAUGAACAAAGGAACCAGCGCUGAGGUCAAUAAGGACAUCUCCAUUAAUGGGACCUGGAGAAAAAUAAAAUUAUAGCUGCAAGAAAUAAUAUAUGAAGCGUCCCCACAAGGCCGCAUGGGUCAGUUGAGAUGCCCCACAAUGUGAGGAAAACACUGCUGCCACUGCUACUGAUGCUCCUCUGGAUCCCUUCCUACUAUCUAGCAGCCAGAUAUCGUCCACAGGCAGCACAUCUGUCUUAUUCUCAUCAGUGUUGUAUCAUCAGUUAUCUAUUUGGAAAUUUAAAUCCUCCAGCCAACAAUAUUCUUAAGUCACCUUGUUGUGGUGCGCUUUAAUUCACCCCCUUGCCAAGCUGUUGGUGGUGCAGGCUCUCCUGUAAUAUUUUGAUGACUCAAUGGUCUUCAGGCAACUGAUGGGUGUUAGAAAUACCAAGAACCAAAAAGGCGUUUAAAGAAUCAACAAUGCUUUAUUAUUUUACCGUAGUAAAAAGACAUUGAUUCAAAAACUAUUAAACACAUAUAGGGAGAGAAUGGGAUCAGUGAAAAUCCGAACAGAAGGAAGGAGCAUGGGAGUAAAAAAAAUGUUACCACAGUGUUAAAAACUGUAAUGUAAUAAA